ACUGCUCAGUAACACGUGGACAACUUGCCCUAUCGCGGAGGAUAAUCUCGGGAAACUGAGGAUAAUACUCCAUAGACCUCUUAUACUGGAAUGUUUUGAGGUCGAAAGCUCCGGCACGAUAGGAUAGGUCUGCGGCCGAUUAGUUUGUAGGCGGUGUAAAGGACCACCUAGACUAUAAUCGGUAAGGGUCGUGGGAGCGAUUGCCCUGAGACGGAAUCUGAGACACUAUUCCGAGCCUUACGGGGUGCAGCAGGCGCGAAACCUUUACAAUGCACGAAAGUGUGAUAAGGGAAUUCCAAGUGUGCAUAUACCAUAUGUACUUUUCUUUAGUGUAAAAAGCUAGAGGAAUAAGGGGUGGGUAAGACUAGUGCCAGCCGCCGCGGUAAAACUAGCAUCCCAAGUGGCAGUCACCAUUACUGGGCUUAGAGCGUCCGUAGCUUGUUUGGAAAGUCUCUGCUGAAAUCCUGCGGCUUAACCGUAGGGCUUGGCGGAGAAACUCUCAGACUUGAGGACAGGAGAGGUCGGGGGUACUUUUGGGGUAGGGGUGAAAUCCUAUAAUCCUAAAAGGACCAACAGUGGCGAAGGCGCCCGACAUGAAUGUGCCUGACAGUGAGGGACGAGAGCCAGGGUCGCGAAACGGAUUAGAUACCCGUGUAGUCCUGGCCGUAAACGAUGCUGACUAGGUGGGGCGUGUUCUUUGUGAACAUGCUAUGCCGAAGGGAAACCGUUAAGUCAGCCGCCUGGGGAGUACGUCCGCAAGGAUGAAACUUAAAGGAAUUGGCGGGGGAGCACUACAAGGGGUGGAAGCUGCGGUUUAAUUGGAGUCAACGCCGGG
rnacentral:rRNA from 1 species